AUCCAACUGACGAGUCCCAAAUGGGACGAAACGCGCGUCCUGGAU
rfam:Schistosoma rodhaini strain Burundi genome assembly, scaffold: SROB_scaffold0003879